CCUACGUGUGGCAGCAGUGAGGAAUAUUGGUCAAUGGACGAGAGUCUGAACCAGCCAAGUAGCGUGAAGGAUGACUGCCCUAUGGGUUGUAAAAUUCUUUUAUAAAGGAAUAAAACGAGGCACGUGUGCCUUUUUGCAUGUACUUUAUGAAUAAGGAUCGGCUAACUCCGUGCCAGCAGCCGCGGUAAUACGGAGGAUCCUAGCGUUAUCCGGAUUGAUUGGGUUUAAAGGGAGCGUAGAUGGGUUGUUAAGUCAGUUGUGAAAGUUUGCGGCUCAACCGUAAAAUUGCAAUUGAUACUGGCAGUCUUGAGUACAGUUGAGGUAGGCGGAAUUCGGGGUGUAGCGGUGAAAUGCUUAGAUAUCACGAAGAACCCCGAUUGCGAAGGCAGCUUACUAAACUGUGACUGACAUUGAUGCUCGAAAGUGUGGGUAUCAAACAGGAUUAGAUACCCCUGUAGUC
rnacentral:rRNA from 1 species